CGGACGGCUGAGUAACACGUAGGAACGUACCCCAAACUGAGGGAUAAGCACCAGAAAUGGUGUCUAAUACCGCAUGUGCUCUUCGGAGUAAAGCUACGGCGGUUUGGGAACGGCCUGCGCAUGAUUAGCUUGUUGGUGAGGUAAAAGCUCACCAAGGCGACGAUCAUUAGCUGGUCUGAGAGGAUGAUCAGCCAGACUGGGACUGAGAACGGCCCAG
rnacentral:rRNA from 1 species